AGGUGGGUACAACCAUAAAUCAGCAACUGGCUGUAUAGUUUUAGAUAAAGAUAGUUUAUUAUUUAAGUAGGCAUAUUACAAUGCGCUUAUGAACGUCAAAUAAAGCUACGCCGGCUCUAACCCUACACCUCUGCAUCGAGAAGAUUUAAAUCUCCCCUCAAUUGGAGGAGGGUAUCCCAAUAUGGGACCGGCAACAAACUCGGCGGGACACAUAUUUUAAAAACUUUACAUCUUACAAUUAACA